GAUCCUGGCUCAGGACGAACGCUGGCGGCGCGCCUAACACAUGCAAGUCGAACGAGAGAUGAGGAGCUUGCUCUUCAAAUCGAGUGGCGAACGGGGUGAGUAACGCGUGGGGGAACCUGCCUCAAAGAGGGGGACAACAGUUGGAAACGACUGCUAAUACCGCAUAAGCCCACGGCUCGGCAUCGAGCAGGGGGAAAAGGAGCAAUCCGCUUUGAGAUGGCCUCGCGUCCGAUUAG
rnacentral:rRNA from 1 species